rnacentral:rRNA from 1 species
AUUGAACGCUGGCGGCAGGCCUAACACAUGCAAGUCGAGCGGAUGAAGGGAGCUUGCUCCUGGAUUCAGCGGCGGACGGGUGAGUAAUGCCUAGGAAUCUGCCUGGUAGUGGGGGAUAACGUCCGGAAACGGGCGCUAAUACCGCAUACGUCCUGAGGGAGAAAGUGGGGGAUCUUCGGACCUCACGCUAUCAGAUGAGCCUAGGUCGGAUUAGCUAGUUGGUGGGGUAAAGGCCUACCAAGGCGACGAUCCGUAACUGGUCUGAGAGGAUGAUCAGUCACACUGGAAGUGAGACACGGUCCAGAGUCCUACGGGAGGCAGCAGUGGGGAAUAUUGGACAAUGGGCGAAAGCCUGAUCCAGCCAUGCCGCGUGUGUGAAGAAGGUCUUCGGAUUGUAAAGCACUUUAAGUUGGGAGGAAGGGCAGUAAGUUAAUACCUUGCUGUUUUGACGUUACCAACAGAAUAAGCACCGGCUAACUUCGUG